rnacentral:snRNA from 1 species
AUGUAAGACUUGCCAGUGACAUCUGUCACUCCAUAGAGAGGUUUGGGUGAUCUGGAUGUGUGCACAUGUUGUUUCCUUCUCCAUCACUGCUUCUUUCUUAAAGCUGCAUGCUUGGUUGAAAAAAACAACUUUCCAUGAAAGGGGAGGAUCUUCCUUGGUCACAAUUUUAAGAGUAGAUGUAGUUCCAUUAGAAACUCCAAACAAUUUUGUCACAAAGGCUCUGUGAUUGAAUGGAACAAUGGGAGCAAUAUAUACUUCAAGUGUUCCUGGUUUCUU